rnacentral:lncRNA from 1 species
AGGUGGGGAAACAAUAAAAAAGAAAAAAAAAUGAAAACAAUGAAAUUAAAAAGGAAAAGAAGAACUAAACUAUAAUCUGUUUAAAAGAAAAGAAGGAAAUUGAAUUGAAAUGAAAUGCAAGAAAAUAGAACUCUAAGCUACCUAGGACAGAAACUGCAGCAGAAACUAUGCCAGUAUUAUCAAUUAAAACCGAAAUCAACAACUAAAUGAAUUGAACAUAUUUAAAACAGUACCAAAUCAAACUAUCAUAUAUGCAAAUCAACUACCAGAAAAUAUUACAAUCAAAAGAAAUAAAAGAAAUCACAGAAUCAGCAAGGAAAAUUGGUUUGAAUCAAAAACUAAAGUCAAAUUCAUAUGAAAUCAAUGCACAGAGUGGUAGAUUAUAUGUCAGGAAGACAUCCUGGUAAAAUAAGCCCAUCACAGGGUCUUAAAGCUCAAUUCUAGAACUUAAAAGUCAAUAAUCAUCACUCAGUUCAUCAAAUUCACAAUGAAUCUAGAUCUAAUUCAUGUUUCUAAUCAAUAUCCUAAAAUAUACAAAACCUAAUUAAAAUGAACGAACAGAAACAAAAAAAAAAACAACAUGAAAAACAAAUAUUUUUUAUGGAUUGAACUCAUCUGGCUCGGGAAGACAUCCCGUUCACUUAUGCCCACCUCGGGGUAGUAUAAUUCCAAAAAGAAAUUUAUAAUAUGCAGAUGCGAGUUCACAGCAAUUUCCAAAUCAAAAUGUUCACAUACACACACGAGAAUAGGAAAACAUUGACAAGAACGCAAUCACAUCACAAACACUCAACAGAAACAUCACGAAGGGGGUAUUAUUAACAAAGAACAAAGAACAAUGAAAAAAAAUGUAAAUGUAUCGAAUAGAAUUGAGCGGGAGCGCAAGAACUUGAGUUUUACCGAAGAAUGCGAUGAAACCCUAGAAAUCGCGAUCUCUCUCUAUUCUAGACAAACCGAGAAAUCAAAAGUAUGUAAAAAUUCUAACUCUGUAAAAGUCUGUCUUUAUUUACAUGACAAUAAUCCCUUUUUAUAGGGUCUAAAACUAAGAACGAAGAAAGAAAAAUCUGGAAAAGAGAAACCUUCAUCUGGACGCUUCCUGCUCUUGAUCCAGCGGUCACUAUUCAUUUGCUUCGAGCUCGCUCUUCUAGCCAUUCGAUCAACUUUUUAUCUUCACCAGUCAACUUCUUCUCCGAGUAAGUGGCACGAACCCUAGCUCCAAGGUGCUCUUUGCUUCUUUUCUUCCCAAGCAAAUGUUUGAGAACCUUAUCCAAAUGAAAGUAAAUGAACAAGAACCUUCUAGCUGCAGCCGAACCCACUCCAAAACGCACCGUUUCACUAAAUGUAAUCCAAGUCUAGCGGCCCAAUCCAACAAUCGUUGCAGCAACUACAGCUUCCAGGCUGAUUCUUUUUAGCAGCAUCCAAACAGCUUCUAUUAUGGCAAUGGCCCAAUAAGUGGAAAAAUCAAAUCUACCAGCCAAAGGAAAUUGCUUCUGCUGACCACAAUAAGCCCAAUUACUAAAGCCCAAAUCUGCAGCAAAGAAAAACAAUUCAAAAUUAAAGAAAUAAAAGCAAAAAAAUCAAAUGAAAGAAAAUAAUUUUUAUAAAAAUAUUUUCUUAAAAAAAAUAUAAUUUUUCUAAUUAUUUACAAAUGUACUAAAAAUACACUAAAAAUCUAUUUUUAACUAAAAUUAUACAAAACUAAAGAACACAAAGAAAAUCCUAAAACUAUCUUAAUUCUAAACAAUU